rnacentral:piRNA from 1 species
UAGACCUUUAUCUAUGGAAGGGCAGUGUGU